rnacentral:rRNA from 1 species
UACGGGGGGGGGCAAGCGUUGUUCGGAAUUACUGGGCGUAAAGAGCUCGUAGGUGGUUUGUCGCGUUGUCCGUGAAAACUCACAACUCAAUUGUGGGCGUGCGGGCGAUACGGGCAGACUGGAGUACUGCAGGGGAGACUGGAAUUCCUGGUGUAGCGGUGGAAUGCGCAGAUAUCAGGAGGAACACCGGUGGCGAAGGCGGGUCUCUGGGCCGAUACUGACGCUGAGGAGCGAAAGCGUGGGGAGCGAACAGG